GGCAAAGCUAGAGUACACAACACCCGGAACAACCAAAAAGGGAAGGGAAUAUCUGCGUCUUCGUCUCACGGAUAUCAGGUUACCCAUACAUAUAACUAUUCAUGUAAACAUUUUUUCACAGUAAAAACAUGAGGCGAACUAACGGUUACACAAAUGUCACAUCGGCGAACACAUAAACACUACUUUAUGGGAAGAGGUCUUACCAAAGUUUGAUAAGCAGGCAAUGUUGGCUACAGAGCAACCAAUAAUCAUUGCCUUGACAUCCGUUUGCGUAAGCACGUUCAGUGAUCGAGUGCAACUAGCAUCAACAAUUCCAGCCCAUAUCUACUUCAACCCUAAUAUAGAGGCUGCCACAACUAUCAGAAACAGGUUCAAGGAACUACCACCCCUCACACUCUAAGCAGGGGAAGGUCAGACAUCACAAUUGGAACUCAUGUCAACAGACGAAAGAAACAAGAAAACCAUUACCGAGCUACUGCAACAAAACAAUGUACAAAAUC